CCCAAAUUCCCCUGAGCUUCCCUGUACCCCCAAACCUCCCUGGGACCCCAAAUUCCCCUGAGCUUCCCUGUACCCCCAAACCUCCCUGGGACCCCAAAUUCCCCUGAGCUUCCCUGUACCCCCAAACCUCCCUGGGACCCCAAAUUCCCCUGAGCUUCCCUGUACCCCCAAACCUCCCUGGGACCCCAAAUUCCCCUGAGCUUCCCUGUACCCCCAAACCUCCCUGGGACCCCAAAUUCCCCUGAGCUUCCCUGUACCCCCAAACCUCCCUGGGACCCCAAAUUCCCCUGAGCUUCCCUGUACCCCCAAACCUCCCUGGGACCCCAAAUUCCCCUGAGCUUCCCUGUACCCCCAAACCUCCCUGGGACCCCAAAUUCCCCUGAGCUUCCCUGUACCCCCAAACCUCCCUGGGACCCCAAAUUCCCCUGAGCUUCCCUGUACCCCCAAACCUCCCUGGGACCCCAAAUUCCCCUGAGCUUCCCUGUACCCCCAAACCUCCCUGGGACCCCAAAUUCCCCUGAGCUUCCCUGUACCCCCAAACCUCCCUGGGACCCCAAAUUCCCCUGAGCUUCCCUGUACCCCCAAACCUCCCUGGGACCCCAAAUUCCCCUGAGCUUCUCUGCACCCCCAAACCUCCCAGGGACCCCAAAUUCCCCUGAGCUUUCCUGUACCCCCAAAUUCCCCUGAGCUUCCCUGCACCCCCAAAUCUCCCAGGCACCCCAAAUUCCCCUGAGCUUCCCUGCCCCCCCAAACCUCCCAGGGACCCCAAUUCUGGAUCCUCCCAUCUCAGGACCCCCAAAAUCCUUAACCCCGAACAUUCCUGAGACCCCACCCCCCACCCCACCUGCAGCUCCCUCCCAUUUUUUGGCUCCUCCAGCCGGUUUUGGGGGUGACUCAGCUCCUGUCCCACAGGUGGGGUCCCCGUGGGAGUCGUGGGUGAACCCCAAGCUCCGGCUGCAGCAGCUGCUGCUGCUCUGGGGGCUCCCCGGGACCCCCGUGCUCUCCUACGGCGACGAGGUGGCGCUGGAGCGGAGCCCGAAGAUGUUGCCGAUGCCGUGGGAAUUGAUCGAGGGACUGGAAAAGGGCGGGAACGACUCUGAGGUGGGCGUGGCUUCGAGCUGUGAUUGACAUUUGAUUGGGGUUUUGUGGGUGUGGCUUUGUGAGGUCAUUUCUGAGGGUGGAGCUUUGGUGUACUUUUAUAGUGGUUUAGAGGGGCGUGGUUUCAUUGGCCACGCCCAUUAUGGGCGGGAACUCUUUAUGGGUGGGGCCCACAAAGUGGCACAAUGAGACCUUUUUAAAAGGGCAAUGUGCCCUUAAAGGCAUAGUGCAUAUUGAAGAAGCAAUGUGCCCUUAAAAGGGCAAUGCUCCCUUAAAAGGGCAAUGCACCUUUAAAAGGAUAAUGUUCUUUAAAGAAGCAAUGUGUCUUUAAAAGGUUAAGGUGCCCUUAAAAGGGCAACACUCUUUUAAAAGGUCAGUGUUCCUUUAAAGAAGCAUUGUAACUUUAAAAGGGCAAUACGAUCUUAAAAAGGCAAUGUGCCCUUAACAGGACAAUACACCUUUAAAGAAUCGUUCUGCCCUUAACAGGGCAAUGCACACUUAAAAAGGUAACGUGCCCAUACAAGGGCUGUGCUCCAUAAAAAGCAUGAUGCGCCUUUAAGGAGGCAAUGCACUUUUGAAAGGGCAAUAUUCUCUUAAAAGCACAAUGCACCUUUAAAGAAGCAGUGCUUCAUUAAAAGGGCAAUGCGCCUUUAAGUGGUCAAUGUUCCUUUAAAAGGGCAAUGCAUCUUUCCAGAAUCAUUGUGCCCUUAAAAGGGCAAUGCACCUCUGAAGAACCAUUGUUCCCUUAAAAGGGCAAUGCUUUCUUAAAAGGGCAAUGCACCUUUCAGGAGUCAAUGCGCCGUUAAAAGGGCAAUGGGCUCUUAAAAAGAGGUAUUGAGCCCUUAAAAGGGCAAUGCGCCCUUAAAAGCCUAACGCACUCUUAAAAGGGCGAUGAUCCCUUAAAAGCCUAACGCACUCUUAAAAGGGCAAUGCGCCCUUAAAAGCCUAACGCACUCUUAAAAGGGCGAUGAUCCCUUAAAAGCCUAACGCACUCUUAAAAGGGCAAUGCGCCCUUAAAAGCCUAACGCACUCUUAAAAGGGCGAUGAUCCCUUAAAAGCCUAACGCACUCUUAAAAGGGCAAUGCGCCCUUAAAAGCCUAACGCACUCUUAAAAGGGCGAUGAUCCCUUAAAAGCCUAACGCACUCUUAAAAGGGCAAUGCGCCCUUAAAAGCCUAACGCACUCUUAAAAGGGCGAUGAUCCCUUAAAAGCCUAACGCACUCUUAAAAGGGCAAUGCGCCCUUAAAAGCCUAACGCACUCUUAAAAGGGCGAUGAUCCCUUAAAAGCCUAACGCACUCUUAAAAGGGCAAUGCGCCCUUAAAAGCCUAACGCACUCUUAAAAGGGCGAUGAUCCCUUAAAAGCCUAACGCACUCUUAAAAGGGCAAUGCGCCCUUAAAAGCCUAACGCACUCUUAAAAGGGCGAUGAUCCCUUAAAAGCCUAACGCACUCUUAAAAGGGCAAUGCGCCCUUAAAAGCCUAACGCACUCUUAAAAGGGCGAUGAUCCCUUAAAAGCCUAACGCACUCUUAAAAGGGCAAUGCGCCCUUAAAAUGGCAAUGCCACUCUGUUCAUUGUUCAUCCCUGAAGUGCCAGCGCCUCCCUCCCUCCCUCCCUCCCCUCGAGGCCGCGUCCCCCCCCCCCCCCCCCCCCCC
rnacentral:lncRNA from 12 species